UACGAAGGGGGCUAGCGUUGCUCGGAAUCACUGGGCGUAAAGCGCACGUAGGCGGAUUGCUAAGUCAGGGGUGAAAUCCUGGAGCUCAACUCCAGAACUGCCUUUGAUACUGGCGACCUUGAGUCCGGGAGAGGUGAGUGGAACUGCGAGUGUAGAGGUGAAAUUCGUAGAUAUUAGGAAGAACACCAGUGGCGAAGGCGGCUCACUGGCCCGGUACUGACGCUCAUGUGCGAAAGCGUGGGGAGCAAACAGG
rnacentral:rRNA from 1 species